rnacentral:rRNA from 1 species
AGGACGAACGCUGGCGGCGUGCUUAACACAUGCAAGUCGAACGGAAAGGCCCUUUCGGGGGUGCUCGAGUGGCGAACGGGUGAGUAACACGUGGGUGAUCUGCCCUGCACUUUGGGAUAAGCCUGGGAAACUGGGUCUAAUACCGAAUACACCCUGCUGGUCGCAUGGCCUGGUGGGGGAAAGCUUUUGCGGUGUGGGAUGGGCCCGCGGCCUAUCAGCUUGUUGGUGGGGUGAUGGCCUACCAAGGCGACGACGGGUA